rnacentral:lncRNA from 1 species
GAUUCAUGCGGUGUGGACAAUCAUAGGCCUCAUGAUCAAUCUGUCGACAAAUCUGACAAGUGAGCAUUCUUGCAUAAUUGUUGAAUCCACCGUGGCCACCAUGAUUGUACCUUUGAUUAGAUCGCUGAUUGUUUCUUUGAUUGUUAUUGUUGCCUUGAUAGUUGGAGAAAUUUCCAUGAUUCUGAUUGCUUCUAGGGUUUGAGAAAUUUCCCCGGCCUUGUUGUGAAUUAAAAGAAGGAGUAUUGUGAGCAACAAAUGCUUAAGAAUUGGGAGAGAUUGUUGGUGUAGGUAGUAAACCAGUAGAUGAAUUGAAGGCCUGGAAAUGGGAAGAAGAAGAAGAUUUCUUCUUGUUUGUCAACUGAAUCUUCUUGCUAAGAAGUAAGCCAUGAAGUUCAUCAAUAGUAGUUGAUCCAAGACGAAAUUGAAUUGCAUCCACAAAAGAUUCGUACUCAGGAGGAAGGCCAUGAAGAGUAACGGAGAUAAGUUCAGCAUCAUCAAUUGGAGAUUCAUCACUGGCAAAAACAUCAACGAUCUCUUUGAUUUGUUGGAGAUAGAUUGCAGCAGUGGAAUCACCUUUAGUAAUACUGCAAAGACGAGAUCGAAGUUCAUGAACAUGCGAUUGCAAAGCUGUCGCAAGUUGCGAUUCCAAUUUUGCCCAAAGUUCAUGAGCAGAAGUUACACCAACUAUGUAAGGAAUCAGAGAAUCGGAGAGUGUAGAGUUAAGCCAGAUGAGAAUGUUCUAAUCAUUUUCGUACCAAGUGACAAACUCCGGAUUCAGAGUCGUCGUGCGAUUUCCUGAGGCAUCGAGAAGAAAUUUAGGCGCAGGAGUCCAUGUUCCAUCUACAAUUCCGGUGAGGUUGUAUCGGCAAAAGAUUGGAGCAAACAGAGCACUCCUGGUAAGGUAAUUGGUAGAAGUAAGCUUGAUCGGAACAAGAGAUCCAAUAUUUUGGAUUGUGAUCGAAGAAAUUAAGGAAUCAGGGUUGGAAUUCAUGAUGUUAGGAGAAUGAAUUUGAGAAGCAGAUUCAGAUGAGGGAGAUGAAGAGGUCGCCAUUUAUGCGAGCUAGGGUUUGCAGAGAGAUUGAUAAACACCAGAGAAUCGUCAUCGCAAAGAAGACGAAGAUUCAAAGAGGAAAAAGGAGGGAAGCGGUUUCGGAUCGGGUCGUGAGACAAAGGCGGGUGAUACCAUAUAGAGAAAAUAUCUUUUCAUUCAUAUCAAACAAUAAGAUUACACUUGGUAUUUAUACAAUUGCAUAGCACACACACUUGUGCUGCAACUCAUCCUAACUAUCAUAACAAACUUAUCCUAACUAAUAACACCAUUAAUAACAUAUUACAACAGAAUUAAUCAAGACUAAGUUUUAUCUUUUACAAGAGAAUUGUCCUUAAUACCGUCAACUAAACUCAAGGACUACAUUCACGAGCCUAAAUUCCUUUAUCCUCUUUCACGUACCUCAUUGUUGCGUGUGCCAAAAAUGAAAUGUCUAUACUACCCUUUAAUUUAAUGUAUAUUUAACGCAAUAGUCGAAAAUGGGGUGAACUGAGAUUAAAUGAGACGAAAUUUGCAAUUUCAAGGGAUAAAGUGAGAAAAAACUAGGAUGUGAAAUGAGACUAAAUGGUAAUUUCAUGAGACAAAUCAACAAAUAAGCCCGAGAAAUUAAUUAAGGAACUGUUAUUAGCACUCUAAAAAUUUUAUUUUGCACAAUGUAUUUUUCUUUCAAAAUAUAGAAAAUUUCGAGUGCAAAAUCGAAGUUUUAGAGUGCCAAUAACAAUUCUAUUGAUUAAACUAAAAAUUAAUUAAAGAUAGUAUUUGGCACUUGAGAACUCAUUAGUGUCAUGCAAAUUUUGUGAUUUUGGGAAAAUGCAAUUUUGCAUUUGAACUCGGAUAUAAAUUGUCAUGUGAAUAAAACCGUGAAGUGAGGUGUCAGAGCGAGAGCGUCAGUGCGCAUGCAUGUCCUUGGCCUUGCAUGCAUGACGUGUUUUCCAGAGAAAUUUUAUUUAUCCAACAUGCUGCUUUAAUUUUGCUAUUUGUUUGGCAUACAAAUAAAUUGGAGGCUUUCUCUAAAAUAAAACAAAAAACAAAAAAAAAAAAACAUGCAUGAUCUUAUAUUUUUCAACAAUUAUUAUGGUCAAUAAUCUAUUUGUUAUUUAAAAUAGUACUAGCAACAUGGACAUAUAUGUACAAAAUAAUUACAAAAAGUACAAAAUAGAUAAAUUUUUCAAUGACUAAUAAUUUGAUAUGGAGAUAAUUUGUGUGUGUAAGAAGUUAAUAAAACAAACUUGAAAUUUCACUCUCUUCAUCAAUCUCCACAGCAUUAAUAUAAUUGUCUUUGGAAUUUGUUUUCAAAUUGAAAUUAAAUUUUAGUGUUAAUAUAGAAUUCUGUUCUUUAUUUUUUUAUGUCAAAUGUAGAUUUAUGUUCACCGCCACGGGUCACAAGUAUUUUGCAGGCUGUGUAGACUAAUAAAACUUAGUUAUAGGUUUGGAAAACAAAAUAUACAAACCUAUUAACGUAUUUGAACAAAAAAAAACCUGGUACAGUUGGGAAAAUAUAAAAGCUAGAAGUAAGGUUUUUGGAAAAAAAAAUAUAAUCUAGUAGGUUUGGCAGAUAUAAAAACCUUAAACCUAGUAAUAUAGUUUGGCAGAAAUAAAACCUAGUAUUAUUGUCUUCAUCGAAAAUCUUACUAAAGCCACCGUGAUUAUAAAUCUAUAUGAAAUUACUUAAAUUAAUCUGACCUAGUUGAUUUGUUUAAUUAUUACACACACACACACACACACACACACACACACACACACACACACACACACACACACACACACAUACAUACAUACAAACCUUAUAUACUUAUUCUCUUUGUUUUUAAUAAUAUUAUCGACAGGAAAUGCCGGGCUGAACUUUCUCAUUGACAUUUUUUUCCACCGAAAACAAGAAGUUUCUGUUGAUACAGUUUGAAGGACAAUGACUUGGUACCCUUACCAUGACACCCUUCAUUCACUAGUUCCAUACGACAUCUCAACCUCUCAGGCUUAAUAAGAAUAAUUUAUUUAGAAGAAGAACAAGAAGAAAAUUGAUUGUUGUCUUGUCAUAUAUAGGUAAGCCAUUGGUCCUUUCUUGAAAGUUCUUUAGUUUUAGACGUCUUUUAUUUUCAUUAAGAGGACCAAUAGAUAUGCGGCUAGAUAUUGUUAAUGCUUAUUUUUAGUUACGCUCCCGAAAUUUGAUUUUGAUCUCACUUUGUUCCUUGAAACUCAAAGUUUGCUUCACUUUGCUCAUUGGAAUUCGAUUUUGAUCACAUUUUGCCCCUCAUAAACUUGAAAGUCGUAUCUAUAAAACUCAAAAUUCGCUCUACAUGUCAAAGUGGAACAAAUUUUGAGUUUUAGGGAGUAAAGUUGUGACUUUUGAGUUACAAGGGAGGGGGUAAAAUGAGAUUAAAACGAAGUUCUAGGAGCUUAACUAAAAAUAAGCCUAUUCUUAAUGUCAAUACGUCCAAAUACAUAUAACAUACAGAUGAUCGAUAUUACGCUUAAAUACUUAAUAAGAUGUAGCUAAAUUUUAGAAUAAUCAACUUUGAUCAUUUAUCUCCAAGAGAAAUGCUAAUGAGACUCUUUUAAAAAUAGAAAUAUCUCAGUCACACUCUGCCACCUCAUAUUUUUUUGGCACAAUUCCCAUAUAAUAAACACAAGUAACAUUGAGAAUACAAAUUUGAAGUAUCACUUCACCCUUCAAAAGUCAUAUGUUUGCCUUUGGAUACGGAUGCGUCAGUAAAAAAUGACAUUGUGCAUGUAUAUCCUUGCAGGUAGUUUGUUAGAAAGGAGGUGAUGGAGGCUUCAGGAUCCUCUGGCGGAUCCAACUCAGUAGGAGGUGGAAGUACCGUGGGGGUUAGCAGUAGGGGCUCCGGUUGACUUUCCAUUUCCUUGUAGGUAGUUUGUUUCCCUCGAUUUAAAGUUUUUAGCAAUACUUGAGUACUAACUAGUCAAUGCCCUUUUUACUCGUGAACCUAUGUGGCUUAAUAAAAACGAGUCAUGUGUUGGAUGUUUAGGUUUUAUAACCAAGUAACCAAACACCCCUUUCUUUUAUUAAACUUACCAAACGGACUAUGUCUUCAUCCUCCAUCAUGUUUGCAAAUCUUCCAUGUCAUGGCUAGCACGGCUUUUCUUGCGACCCUAAUUGGCCAACCCCACCACCUAAAUUUCUAUCUCAUCUAAAUUUCUAUCUCAUCUAGUCCAUUCUCUCUUAUUUUUCUCUCUUUAUAAAGAAGUCAACACAAGAUGUUAAUGUGGUUGAAUCGUGACUGUUUAAAUAGGAGGGACUUAGAAGGGAAGAGAAAUUGGAGGGCAGAGAAUUCUACUUCAAAAUUGAGUAGUUCUUAUUUAUUCGAGGCCUUAAUUAGAUGGUGUUUGCUACUUAAUACUACAGUUUAAUGAUAUUCUUGUUCACUUAUAAGUAAAAAAUCUUAAAUUCGAUUCUCGUCAUAAAUUGAAAUUACAUUAUUAUUAACCCAUUAUUAUGAGAUGUGUUUGCACUCACAUGGAUGCAUUUAUGUAGAUUUCCUCAUGCUCUUCAAAGAAAUUAAAAUAUAGAAGGCAUGUGCAUAAGUGUCUUUUUGAUAAAGCUCUUAUUACAAUACGCAUUGUUUAUGGUGAAAAUAUCAUAUUUUUAGUUUAGGUACUAAUUAAAAUUUAAAUUCGUCAUGUUGUUUUUGUGUUAAAUUCAUUAUUUCAAGAGAUGGCUCGAUAACAACCUAUCAGUUAACAGGUUCAUGUGAAACCUGUUAUUUGUGUGUCAUUUCUUGUCGAUUAACAUAUUUUGUAAAUUUUUUUUUAAUUAUUUUGGAUUUUUUUUAGUUGGUACUUAAAUUAAAAAUAUGAUACUUUAACUAAAUGCUUUAUUAGGAAUUAGUAUUUAAAUUAAAAGACCCUAAAUUAUACAAAUACCCGUUUAAAGCGGCGUUUAAAACGGUAGAAUUAAUCUCCUAAGGUCCUAACUUUUGAGGACUUGUGAUACACCCCGACCGAGGUCAUGACAUGCUGGCCGUCACGUGAGGGUGACGUAGCCAUGUGCACAAUGCGAGAGCGAUAAAGAUAGCAACUAUAUGAAUAAUUAAAACCAGAUUACUAGAGUGCAUUACUAAACAGAAAGUGAUAGAAGUUAGUUACAACAGUAAACACUCCUAAUCAGAGCAUAAAGUCUAGGUGCAGUCUAGUAGGACAAGUACUAGUUAUACAGUACCAGGAAUGUCCUACUAUUAUUUAGAUAAGUCAGAACAGCCGACAAUCCUGAGCCACCAACAAUAAGUUUACUUAGAACCUGGAAGGGCACAAAACAAAAAACGUGAGUGGGUAAAAACAAAUGUUUUACAAAAUCAUUUCAUUUAUCAAUAUACUAACCCCUCGCUGUAAAACAUGUAUAAUUUUCCCAGAAUCAAGAUAUAAGUAUAUACAUACAUACAUACAUAUAUAUAUGAAAUCAUAUCAAUUCAAUUCAUGCUUCACAUAAUCAUAUUCAUAUGUAUGCCAUGCCAAAAUAUAACAAAGUAAACAAUCCAGGUAAGAAUGAUUUCAUAGAAACAUGAUAUGUUAGCCAGAACCCCUGAGGUAGUCUGUACGGCUGAAUUCAUAACUCAACGUCAAUCUGGCCGGAGUCACUACAAUGACCUAUACGGCAAUAUACUGCACAUAAGUCGGAACUACUAAAGAGGGUUUGUACGACAAGAUUGGGUGAAAUAUAAUUAUGCUCAACUCUAUUCUCUCUUAAUAGCCGGGCGAUGAAUCGCUAGUCACCUACGAGUUGGAACCAUGAAUAAGGUCUGUACGACAAGAUUGUGCACUUGAGUUGGAUCCAAUAUGAGCAUAUAGUGUGGGAGGUGAGGUAAAUAAACAGGCAUGUACCUCAUAUCUCUGGCUAAUUUACAAUCACCCUAGGUGCAGCUUUAUGAGCUCAACAUUAUUUAAUCACAAAUCACAUCAUCGAUGAUUCACACAACCAAACAUAACUUACCUGAACUCACCCGUGCCUCCACAACACCACAUUUAUAUAUAUAUGCAACCAUGCAAUGCAUAUUCAAAAUAUAGAAGCAUUUGGCAUAUCAUUUCAAAGCAUACUUUCCUUAAAAAUGCAUUUCUGGGAAAUAUAUCAAGUAUAUAAAUAUAUACCGAAAACAAAAGCCCACUCACUAUGUCGAAGGGUCGUAGCCCCCGAGUCGCCCGUGGAUACGCUCGUCCUCGGGAUAAGUCUCACCUAUAUGCGAAUUAACUAUAAAAACGUUAUUUUAAAGCACAUAAGCAAAAACUAGCUAAUAACUUCCCAUACAUUGCUCAAUUUUGGUAUUUAAAUAUACCAACGUGACCUACACAGCUUCACGAACAUCGUGAUAUUUUUAGAUAAAUUUUUAGGUGGCUCACGCGCCCCCACGCGCCGAGGAGGGCAUGGCCUCACGUUCCCAACGCACGCAUCAUCUUCAACCUCCAGACGUCGGAAUAGUGUCGUCGGCGCCGGAUUCUGGGCAGACCUGCAACUGCCUUUUUCUCACUCGUUUUUGCACCAUUUUUCACGCAAUUUAUACCAAAAUGAAGCUCUUAACUUGUAGAACACGAUCAUACUAAUUUAAAGCUCUAAAAGUCAUGGGAUCUCACCGGAGAAUUCGAAGAAAAUCGGCCAAACUUCGUCCACACGAUCCCGACGUCCAAAACCUUCAAACGAAGCACUCCGAGCUUUCUUGGGACCUUACUAAGCUAGCAAUGAGCUUGGAUUGUCCUAUAACAUAACCAUUUAAAAGUUCGUGAAUAGUGCUCAACUCGGAGCUUGAAUUUUUAAAGUGAUAUCGAACGAGUUCUUACCUGAAAUGGGUACAUUUGAACUCGCAUGGUCCUCACGAACACAAUGGUACUAAUUUUGGCCACGAUCCGUGAAGUUUCAAGGGUCUUGGGUGCUUGUCCGUGCCAUUUCGAAGGAGAGAGAGUGAAACCGAAAGAGAGAUAAGAGAGAACACGGGAGAGUGAGAGAGAGAUAGGAUGUGUGGUCCAGAUUUUUGGGUCACCAAUCAAAACAACCAAUUUUCCUUACUUCCAAUUGGUUCCAAAAUAAUAGGAACUUAACACAUUGGUCCUCAACCACACAUAGUCCCACAAUGCCACAAACGCUCAAGGGCAUUUUAGUCUUUUCACAUCAACGAUAACAAAAUAAUGUACAUUUCCGGGACGGGUUGUGACAACUUGUGAGGUCCUUUUUCAUUUGAGCCGUUAGAUUAAUCUUAUGGUAGAUUAAUAUAUCAACUUUAAUAAUUUAUCUUAUGGUAGAUUAAUAUCAACAUCAAUAAUUCUUGUUACACCGAAACACAAUAAUUUGGGGAAGUAAUUAAAAAAAGAUUUGAUGAAAUUGGACGUGUAAAAUUAUUAGGUUUUCAUAUUUGGAUUUGAUGGGUUUAAAUAUUUGAUGGAGAUUGACAUGGCGUGAAACUUUCUUUUCUCUUCUUAAUUUUUUUUGUUUUACCAGUUUAUAUUUUGUUUCCGUAUAACAAAAAUUAUUUAAGUUGAUAGUUUAAUAUACCGUAAGAUUAAUUUGAAGCUUCAUAUAAAAAAGGAAUUUCAUAGAUCCUCAAAAUGAGGACCUUAUGAGAGCAACUAACAAGCCAGAUUAUAAACAAAAUAGACUUAAAAUAAAAUAAGCGUAUACGCAAGAUAAAUGGUUGGGGUAAAAAAAGGGCCACACAUGCUCGAUUCACAACUCAAAUCAUGAAUUAACAAAUCUAAUUAUAAAUUAGAUGAUAAUUGGAUCUCUACUACAGUUGUGACGAGAAGCGUUGUCCUUGCACGUGAGUUCGAACCCUGUUAAUUUUUUAAUUUAACAAAUCUAUCAUUUAAAAAAAAAAAAUUAUAAAUUAGAUUAGAGGGCUGCUAGUGACCAUACUGAUGAUGACUAUUAUUUUAUCAAAUACUGACUCACUCACUCACGCUAACCAAAUAUACAUAUAUUUAAUCUAUUAUUGUAAACUAAAUAUAAUAUAUAUAUAUAAACGUACAAAAAUUUCUGGUCAUAGAUCUUCGUAUUUUGCUAGACGAUAUAUGUAUAAGGUAUUCGAGUCUGUAUUAUCGAUGCCUCUCUUUCCCCAUAGCGCAGCGACUCAGUGAGGGAGGAGAGAGAAAGAGGAGAGAGAGACCUGUCAUUGUUCUUCUGAGGACGACUCGGUUGCCCAAUACUUUGGCGUCUCGUCUCGAACAGUUUUAAAGCACAGCGACACACAAUAUCGAAUACUACCACCACCGAUUCACUUCGACUUCUUCACCACCUCCUCCACCAAACCACCAGUUCUCUCUCUUCCACCUCCCUCAUAUACCCUUUAACUCUCUUGGGAUUCUCUCUCCACCUUUCUCUCUCUUCCCAAUACGGGCGCAGAUUGCCAUUGCUGCGAGCUUUUCAUUUCUGGGGUUGCUCCAAAUCGAUUUACCCCAAUUGGGUUUUUGUAUUUUCCGAUUUGAGCAUCUGGGUUAUCGUCGUCGUCGUCCCCCAUGGCUGCCUCCUCUGUUGCAUCUCCGCUCUGCACGUGGCUGGUGGCCGCUUGCAUGUCGGUCACGUGCGACAGGGACUGCUCUGCCAGGCCAUCUAUGCUCAGCUCCUCCCGGAGGCGGCCGAAAUGUGCCGGAAGAAGGAGGCUGCCGUCCAAAUGUAGUAGCUUUAGUGGCGAUUUCCAGAAGGGCCUGAUUUCUGCGUUCAGUGGAUCCAGCAUUCAGGGCCUCAUGAGCUCCUGCUUGGCUUUCGAGCCCUGCGAUGAGUACUACAGCUCAAAGGGUUUAUCUUCUUUGGGAUGCAAUGGGCUUUCAUCACUGUUUGGAUCCAAUCGAAGGCAGAGGCAAUUUAAUGGAGCCUCCUACUCUGGUAAUUGUGUUUUUAUGAUUGUUUUUGACAUGUUCAAAGUUAAAUUUAUUAAUCUUGUGAUUGCUUGUUUUAUCAGAACAUGCUGAUUGUGUUGUUGUUUUUACUUUUGAAAAAAAAAAGAAAAAAAAAAGAUUAUUUGGAAUCUGGGCAGCUAUCAAUGCAUGUAUUUUGUGUGCGUGUUUUUUGAGCUUUUUAGCCAAAAUGGUGGCAUAAACAUUGAAAAUCGAUAGUAGUCCCUGCGUUUUGUCCACCGUAAAUCAUUCUAGUCCUGUCAAUAUCCUCGUUAAGUUGUCAAACUCAGGACCACUUCUAUCGAUUUUCAUUGUCAAAGUGAGGUGAUAUGCUAAUCACAGAGACCAUGUUGGCUGAAAAACCUUUUUUCAAUUAUAUAUUCUGGAAUUUUACUUUAUUCUUGCUUUGCAGUAUGAUUUAUUUGAAGUGGGUUAUGUUGGUAUACCAAUUGUUGUUGGAAAGAGAGGAAAAAGUUUUCCAUGCUGUGCUGUCUUCUUUUCUAUUGGAAUUACAGUUGCCAAAAAAUAAACAGUGGUUUUAAUAGUAAAGUAUUCCAGUUGGACUCAUUGAUUCAGAGCAUCUCCGAUUCGCAACUGUUGAGUGAUUCAUGAUUAUACUACCCAGGAACUUUAAUUUACAAAGAAUACGUAAUAGAAUAUCUUGUUACUGAAGAAGUUUUAUGAAUUGGACCAGGAAAGAGAGGAAAGAUAUAUUAUUUACGUUGGUGUGAAUGUAUAUAGAAUGAUCGUCCGUUGCCUUAUAGAUCUUUGAGGACUCUAACUUAGGUUUUUGCAUCAAUAACAACAACAAAGCCUUUUCCCACUAAGUGGGGUCGGCUAUGAUUUUGUUCUGGAUUCAUUUUCAUAAGGAUUCGACGUGAUCAUGGAGUGCCGGCUGUCGACUACCUGACGCCCUCCCCCUCCUCCUUUUCCAUCAAUGUAUAAGUAAAAAUAUUCCUUGACAUGCAUGACAUCUUCGUUUGUUUUAAAUCAUUGUUAUUGGUGGAAAUAUAGGGGAAACCAUGGCUGUAGCUGUGCAACCUACUGAAGAAUUAACAAAACAGAAGAAACCUUUAACAAGACAGAGGCGAGUGGUUGUGACAGGAAUGAGUGUGGUGACCCCACUCGGUCAUGAUUCUGAUGUCUUCUACAAUAAUUUGCUUGAGGGAGUUAGUGGCAUUAGUGAGAUAGAAGCUUUUGAUUGUACCCAGUUUCCAACGGUGACUAAUUUACUAAACCUCCCUUCAAAUUGUUGUUUUCUCAGUACUAUGUUCUUACUUCUCUUUAUUUUCUUUAGAGGAUAGGUGGUGAGAUAAAGUCUUUCUCAACGGACGGAUGGGUAACACCAAAGUUUUCUAGAAGAAUGGAUAAGUUCAUGCUUUAUUUGCUUACUGCUGGAAAGAAAGCCUUGGCAGAUGCUGGAAUCACAGAAGAAGUCCUGGAAACAUUAGAUAAAGCAAAAUGUGGGGUUUUGAUUGGCUCAGCAAUGGGUGGCAUGAAGGUACCUCAGUGGUCUGUGCCUUAAUAUUAUGUACACUUUUUGCAGAACAUUGAAAAAUCUUUCUACUGGUUUGUCUUCAAUUUGAUGUUUUUAGCAAGCAUGGUUUAGAGUUUGUAAUGUUAUGUCACAUCUUCCAAAUGUCAUUUUCGAAGGAGAUGCACGAAAACUAGUUUUCUUUUAAUUUCAGAACUGGACUUGUGUAUGUUAUUUAUUUGUUUAUUUAAGACAGUGUAUCAGUAUCUCUCUCCUGUAGUAAAACAUCUUGUAAACACAAAAGAUUCUUUUCGCAAAAUUAAAUUCGAAGCCAGAUAGUCUAACAGUGACCUACAAAAUUUGACUCUGGAACAAGAUCUGAUGUAUUUUCAUCACUUCAGUCAUUUCUGACAAAAAGAUUCUUUUGUGUUUGAUAUUGAACAGGUCUUCAAUGAUGCAAUUGAAGCUUUACGGGUUUCCUAUAAGAAGAUGAACCCUUUCUGUGUACCCUUCGCAACUACAAAUAUGGGUUCUGCCAUGCUGGCAAUGGAUCUGGUGAGAUUACAAUAUAUACGCGUAUAUAUAUUAUCGAUGCAAUACUCUUACAAUUCGUGAUGGCUGCUGAGAUUUUAUACUUGUCCUUUUAACUGCAAUUUACUUUUUACUCUUGCAGGGCUGGAUGGGCCCAAACUAUUCAAUCUCUACUGCUUGUGCUACAAGCAACUUCUGUAUUUUGAAUUCAGCAAAUCAUAUCAUUAGAGGCGAAGCAGUAAGUAUCCUGCUAAUCAUAUUAGGUGGUAGAGUUUAGAUGCAAAAUAUUGUUCUACAACAUGAAGUAAUUUAGUGGUUGUUUAGAUGCAAAAUUGAAAAUAAUGAUAUCUGAUGAAUGAUCUUUAAGUAUUAUAUAAUAACUAAUUUACAAUUUUCUUUGAAAUCUUAUGCAGGACCUUAUGCUCUGUGGUGGUUCAGAUUCAGUGAUGAUACCUAUUGGUAUUGCUCCCAUUCCUUGCAUAUGUUAUUUCUGUCUUAUUUUUACUCUGAGUUGAACGUAAUUUUUAAUAAUCUUUUUUCGUAUGCUGUCACCGCAGGAUUGGGAGGCUUUGUGGCAUGCAGAGCACUGUCACAAAGAAACAAUGAUCCGACUAAAGCAUCACGCCCUUGGGAUAGUGUAAUGUGACCAAUAACUAUGCUAGAUUCAUUUAUUCUUUUAUUUCCACUGUGAUUGGUUAUAUGAUGAAACUUUUGUAAAUAUUCUUAAGAACAAGAAUGGUAAAAAUCACUGAAAGGCAUGUCAUAUAUUGGUUAUCACAAUGUAAAUUUGUGUUGGAAUCUAGUCAGCUUUAUUGAAAUGAUAUGUUGUAAUUUAUAACUAAACCUAGUCAUCUAUUGAGCUUGAGAUUUGAGUUUCUUUGUUUUAGAAACGUUUAACAAGUGCAAGGGUACUGCGUUGCGAAUGAAAAUGUUUGGAACUGCAAUCAUUGUUUCUUACUAGCAUAUAGACUUACAUAGUGGUGUUUUUAACGAAAUCUUGUUUUGGUUAUUGGACAGAAUCGUGAUGGCUUUGUUAUGGGGGAAGGAGCUGGCGUUUUGCUUCUAGAAGAGUUAGAACAUGCUAAGGUAUUUUCUAAAUCUAUGAUCUUGGCAAUGGCACUUGGGUUGUCUGUCUGGAUAUUCUUUUUCUCUUUCUGUGUAGGAUCACAUCGUCUGUAGGGUUGUAGGUGCAAAGUCUGUAGGGACAUUCUGUAUACUGUGUGGUUCCCUUGAGUUAAUCCAUAUCAUGCUUUCCGUUACUUUUUUUGUACUAUGUUGAGUGAUUAUUGUCAGCUGAGCUUACUGCUACCCCUAUAGUAGUCUCAUACACAUUUUCUAAUCAUUCAUUUCUAUCUUACCAUGCGAUAUGGUGUUUCUGUAUAAAUGCUUCUUUAGAAAGUUUAAUUCAUUGAUGUUUAUUUUCUUACAGAAAAGAGGUGCAACUAUUUAUGCAGAAUUCCUUGGUGGAAGCUUCACAUGUGAUGCUUACCACAUGACUGAGCCACACCCUGAUGGUAAUAUGCUUUAUCUUUGGAAAUAUCACUCCUACGUUUCUCUUGUUCUUUUUGUUGAGCUAUGGAAACAAGAAAGCUUUUGGCAACUUGUUUCUGUUGAUCUAUUAGAGGUUCAUUAUGGAAGAACAUUACGUGGAAAUAUUUGAAUGAAUAAUGUCGUUAUAGCAUUUUUUGUGUGAAUAAUUUUAUCCACCUUGCACUUUGUUUCAUCGAAUUACAUCAAAUGCUGGAAUUUGAAUUUUUUAUUAAUGUCCUUGGAAACAGGGGCCGGGGUUAUUCUCUGCAUAGAAAAGGCAUUAGAGCAGUCUGGGGUGUCUAGGGAAGAUGUUAAUUACAUUAAUGCACAUGCUACAUCCACACCAGCCGGAGAUCUCAAGGAGUAUAAUGCUCUCAUUCAUUGUUUUGGCCAGAACCCUGAGGUAACAACAAUACAUUACAUUCGUCGUCUGUUUUCUUAAUUCCUGUAGUUCCAUGUUCAAUGAGAUCAUUAUGUUUUACAGUUGAGAGUGAACUCUACAAAAUCCAUGAUUGGUCACCUACUAGGAGCAGCUGGUGCUGUAGAAGCUGUUGCAGCAGUGCAGGUAACUUGAUGUUUCAACUUGGAAAAACUGUACAAUUUUUAGACCUUAUAUUUAAAGACCAAAUACAAUUCUUCUUUGGUUUGAAGUGUAGUUCUUGACAUGUUAUCUUCUUUUUGGGUAGGCGAUACGAACUGGGUGGAUACAUCCAAAUAUCAAUCUGGAAAACCCAGAUGAGGGAGUGGUACGUUGUCUUCCGUUCCUUUAUAAUGUCCAAUGAAAGUAUAUUUGGAAUCCUCUAAUUCUGUCAGCACAUCAAUGCAGGAUACAAAACUACUAGUGGGUCCAAAGAAAGAGAGGCUGGACGUUAAGGUGGCAUUGUCUAACUCAUUUGGGUUCGGUGGCCACAACUCAUCGGUCUUGUUUGCCCCAUACCAGUAGAAACACAGAUCUAGUGUGCUACUCCAACCUUUGCUGCAAUCUUACACGGUAUGUUUGCACACUGCCACCUUUUUUUAGAACUUAGAAGGAUUGUAAUAUGUAAACAAAUCAAGCAAGGUGUCGGUAUUUCUUUUGAAAAAUAGUAGUCCGAAAAAUAAACCUGUAGUAUCGUGAUUAUUUGUCUGAGUUAACAUCUUUCAACUUGAAAUCAACCUAUGUAGAACAGUUACGAGCACUGUCACGUAUUUCUUCAACAAUGAAAUCAAUGAUAUCUUUCUUUCGUAUAUUUUGGUUGAAAAUUAAGCAGAGCCCGUUAUUUACAGAUGGGACUGAAUCGACAUUGAAGUACUUCAUCUUGUGUAUGGUCGGAUAGAUUGUGGCUAUGAAAACUGAACCGCUCGAGAAGAUUGUUGAGGUGGCCCCUAAGUAGGAAAUAUUAAGAGCUCACCCAACGGUUAACAAGAAAUACUUUUGCUUCUUAUUGUUAGAAACUUUCCCUUUCGAUAGCCACAGUAGCUUUUGAUACUUUUACGGCUGCUAGUCAUUGAACGGCCGCUACGGUAACGGUUGCCUUGUUUGAUUUUGGUGUUCUGUACAACUAGUUGGCUCAUCAGAUAAUUGUAAUGAAAUUUAGUUUGCAGUUGCAUGACUUUACGUUUUUCGAAUUCCGACCUACUUGUAUCUUGUUUCCAAAUUUUAUACUUGGAUUGGGACCCGUUCGAGCGUCUUUAUGAUGUCCAUAAACUUACUUAUGACGAAGCGAUAUUCUAUUCUAACCUACACGUUCCUUUCCUUGUUCGCCAUCGAUCGCUAUGUAUGUUCAUGUUAAUCGGCAAGCAGUAUCAACAUAUUCAAUAAAGUUUGUAAAAAAAAAGGUUCAAGAAAAGUGAUUGCAAAUAGUAAUCAAUAAAUCAAGAAAAGUAGCAUAUUUAUUGUGGAGAAAAACUAAAAUACAAAGACCCUUUGGUGUUUAUAUAUAUUUGUCUUGAAUGUGUUGAUCUAAGUUGAAGAGGUUCUUCACCUUGUUCUCUUCUUGCUGCCUCCUUUCUUCUGAACCCGCCCUUUAAACUUCGAGCCUUUAGCGGAGAGGAUGGCCGAGGCACUCUGCCCUUCGAGCUUCUUCGUCAUUUUCACCACACUCGAUAUUCCUUUUCUCGCGGCCGCCCUAUGCUCUGGUCUACGGCUCAUCAUUUUCCGAUCAAGUGGCCAAUAUGCAUAUGGUUCAAGCUUGUCCUUCCUCUUCAAAUCCCCACCAGCCUUCUUGCUGGCGUACUCUUUGCCGGUGGCAGCCCACCCGGAUUCUGAUGUCUUCCUGCGUUUUUGUGUUUUCUUUGAGUUUGCAGACAAGUGACUAUCCGCUUCGCUUCUUGCAUCAUAAUCAGGUUCGGAUGGCUUUUCCUUGUACGAUUCUGCUUCGUCGUGAAUUAUUAGGCGCCCAUCAGGGUCUAUCUCUGGCCCAUCAUCCGACUCCAUCUUUCGCUUUAAACUCUCAGAUGACCUGAGUGCAGACCUAGUUCUUUGCCGAUCAAGCAGAUCAAGUGGCUCAUCCUCUAGCUGAUCAAGCAACUUCUUAUUAUUUGUUCUUCUGUAAUACAAACAAUUGUGUUGGUUCAUUUCGGCCAAUCCAGGUUGUGUUGUUGAUCAUAUUAUUUUUUAACAUUCCUGGACAAUCAGAUAUGAUCCAACGAACACUUCUAGCUUACCAAGAUCAUGAAUAAUGCAAAGUGUAGCUAUCUAAACACGUAAACACUGCAACAUGAACAUCAACAACCACCUACCGUAAUGAAGAUGCUUUGGAUUUGAGCUGUGUGGACACCUUGCCACGUCUGCCCGACUCUGUUUUGGCAUCCAUAUAAUCUGCAUCGCUAUCCUCAUUUUCUUCAUCACCAAAAUCAGAAAAGAUUUUUGUAUGGUUCCACCUGCUUAGCCUGAAAAGAAGAUGGAAAAUAACAGAAUGUUAGAGAACAUGAAGAUUAAAAACUAUAUAUAUCUCAAAAAAUGAAAGUUCAAAAAUGAGAUGUAAAAGUUCCACCGGCACAUACGCACAUGUGUGAUGUGUAUUUACAAUAAGAAUACAUGUGCACCGUGUGAGUUGUGCUCGUGCAUGUAUUUAACUUUUAAAUUAUGAAAGAGUGAGACCUGGAUGUAGUUGCUUUGGACACUUGAGAUCUAGCUUCCUCAGAUUUAGAACCCAGCUUUCUCUCUUUUCGUUCCUUAAGCUGUGUUCACAAGAAAAGGGGAAGAUCAGAAACAAGUAGUGAGUACCCCUGGAAAAUUUUCAAUCUAGCACGAUGCCUCUCGACAAACCUUCCGUAUGUUCGUAAGUAGUUUCAUAUGCUCUUGAGGCAUCACAGCCUUAACAGCAUCAAGCCCACAUUUCUUGACGAGCAUUUCUAGAAGCAGCUUAACCUGAAGAAGAAGAAAAAUCGAGUUUGAAAAGCAAGUGAUGAGAAAUAUGGGGAAAUUCAUAAAACCAACUGAACUCAACCAUAUUGAGGAGGAAACAACCUUGGCUUUGAAGUGGCUUUUAGUAGCAUCUUGCCACUUGAGCAAGCCUUCCACCAUGCUUUUCAAGUGCAACUGCAACCCCUCAGCUUGUGAUUUGGCUACUAAUACUUUCAACAAACCCAAAUUAGCCUGCAAAAAGGAAAUAACAAAUAAGUCAACGAAUUAUCAAGCAGUUCACUUAAGUAACUGAAUAACUCCGAAAUGCUGAUCUAAAAGAGAGGGGAACAAACUUUGAUUAUUUCUUUGUUCUUUCUCUGAAGGAGGAGAAAUGUGGAUGGGAGCAAAUUGCUAGCACUUGAAACAAGGUCAGAAAAUUCAUAAGCCAACCGAGCUAAGCCCUUCAUUGCAGCACUGAUCAUAUGAGGAGUUUCACCAGCUAGCCCCCCAGCUACCUGUGACCAUAAGAUCAACCUUAGACAUGCUGCAAAUUUAUAUAAUUUCUGCUUUCCCACAGGACCAAUUAUUGCCAAAAGACUAACAGUAAAAACUGAGGCAGUCUGAAACAAUAUUCAGUACCAUGUUAAAAAAUUGCAGCAGGUUUUCUCUCUUCCCGCCAGUCUCCUCGUCUCCACAAGCAUGGCCAAUUUGGACAAGGAUGUCAUAAGCUCUAUUUCUUGUUUUCUUGUUAGCCUGCAUUGAGAAAGAAAACCAUUGGUAGCACUACAUAUAAAUGAACAAAUUCUGAAGCUGCAGAAUGCAAGAUCUUCUGGCUCUUUAAGCGCAAGAAUUAGAUUCUUUCAGGAAAUUAAAAACUACGCAAGAAACCAGAUUGCAGCUGCUAAACCACUUUACCUCUUUAAGUGCAAGAAUUAUUUCUGUCAGGAAAGAACUUAUGAUGUCAUGCUGCAUCUGCUCAGUGUCGCUCUACAAAAAGAUUCAAGUUCUUAGCAUGGAAUGGCAUACAUGUGAAUUUUUUUCCCUAAAUCAAACUUUGUUCCUGAGAAUCAAAUAAUGAAUGCUACACGUAGUAAUACGAUUUGGCAAAUCAAUAUGUUUAUGUAUACCUUUGAAAUAUGGACUACUAGGAGGUACAAGCAGUCAAGUCUGUGCCGUUUAGCUGAAAAAUGGCAUGAAGGAAGUACUUCAAUCAUAAUAUCUGACAAUUCCUUGCGCUUCAAUGAAAGAAACCAAUCACAGUCCUGACCAUACAUCCAGCAACAAGAUCCAUAAGUAAAAGAGAUGAGCAAAGGAAAAAAACCACCAUAACAUGGAUAGAAUGGCUCAGCAGCACAUAAUUCCAGAAAAUUAUAUGAGUGCCCUUGUAACCAUGUCUUCUUUAACUAAGACAUUAGCAGUGAAGCAAACGACUUUGAACCAGUAAACCAUGUUUCCAAAUAUUCCACUGACUGGUGAUAAUAAUUCAAGUACAGUGCAAAAGCAUUAAUAAAGAUAAUCCCUAACAUCCAAAUCAUACAAAUCCUUAACUUUUGCAUACCCUGAGAAUGAUUGAAAGAACUUUGUAUGCCUUCUUUUGUAUCAAUCCUUCAUUAUCCUGAAGUCAGGAAGCCCAUAGUUAGUAACUUAGGCAGUAUUUCCUUUUACCAAGCAUUUCUAGAUGCCCUUAAAAACAAAGUAAAUAACCAGAUGGAGGAGAAAGAUUUCCAAACCUGCAAUGCAGUCUUUAUUGCACUAAAUAAAACAUCAACCUCUUUAGCAUCCAAACCAGGUAAAAGUGAGACUGCCAAGUCAAAUAGUUGUGCCCUGCAGUUAAGAUGGAAGAGAAUUAAUGUCAGGUCAGACAUCCUGAGAGAGAGAAGUGAUAACUCUACUGUGAAAAUGAAGAACUAAACAUCAUAGACAAAAAAAAAAUAAAAAAUGAUGUACCGCAUGGUAUUAGAAUCUCUAGAGCUUUCUGCUUUCCUAGCCUCUUCAGUAACCUUCAAAAGCUUCACCAAUGUACUUCUAAAAUACCUUGAGACAACUUCUUUAUCUGAUAUUGAAGCAAACUCACCAAUUGUGGACUGUACAGGUGGAAACAUAAUUAUUCUCAUCUUCACAAAACACUAUUCAUGAAAAAGUAAUCAACGAAUUUCGCAUUGAAAGUACAAACAUGUAUCUAACCAAAAAUGUAUUCCUAAGUAGAAAAUUGAACCCAAUAUGAAAAUGUACAAGUUCAUUAGGGGAAGCAGAGGGGACAGAGGUGCAAAUGUAUCCAAAAGAUCAAGGGGAAGUCAAAAGAAAGAAAGAAAAAUAAGACUGAAAAGGGUGAUAUUGUAAAAAAGGGAUGCAGCUUAUAAAGUGAGCCAAUUCCAUUUUGUUCUUGUGCCUUUAUUGCUGAAUUAUGUUCUUUGAAUGUUCACUACGAUGUAUCUAACACAUUUAGGUAAAAAGUGCCUCUCUCUCUUACAAAAAAUGUGUCAUGGUUUUAACGAGGAUAGGCAUGGUUUGUAGGGAAACUGCAUUUGUUACACCAGUAGGAUAAGUGUACUGUACAAAAAUCAAUGCGGAUUUGACAUUCUUGUCAUGUAUUUUGCAGAACAAAUAAACAAAACACAUGUAACCUCAGUAUGCUUAAGUACCUGCAAACAGCCUGCAUCAUCUUUUGUGGUAUUCAAGAAAACACCUGAUAGAACAGGUAGUAACUUGCGUGCAGAUGACUUGAGUACGCUCAUGUUACCUUCUGUAACUUCAGGGGUAUAAUUGGCCAUAGCUCUAUGUCUGGCGCUACCUAAUUCACUAUCAGACAGAUCAUUCACUUCCACAAUUUUCUUAUUUUGUUGAACAAGAAUCUGCAAGCUCAAGCAUAUUAUCCCACGAAUCUCAGGUUCAUCCUGAAGGGCACUGCAUAAGGCUUGCUCUAGAUCCUUGAAACUUUCAGCAGUAUCAGAAGCAUAGUUGCAAAAGGAAGGUAACAGUGACCACAAAGCGUGUACAAGUGCAUCUGAACUCCUUGAUGAAACAAUACGUCCUUGUGACUCCAGCUGCAAAUUAUAGCACAUAACUAAAAAAUUCCAUCUGGAAUAAACAACUAGCAUUCCAUCAGUAUGAUUUGUUCAAUACCUUUUUAGAUUUCUCCUUUAUCAUUCCAACCAUACCCAAAAUUGACUCCGUAAAGAAGCUCAAACGUGCACCAAUUGUAUACUGCUUCAGUAUCGGAAAGAGCCAAACAUUCACCUGACUUAGGUCUUCAGCCUCCAAAUUAAGAGGUAGAAGACCUAAAAAUGUUUCAGGUCCCAUUGCAACAAGAGCCGAUCCAAAGCAUUCAUGCAACUAUAUAUUAAUAAAGUCCUUAUAUUAGUAAAUGUCACACUGAGUUAGAAAAAAUGAACUGAGUUUGACUUGCAACCUAAAAAACUUGUAAAUGAUGAUAGUGGACAUGGUAAAAUUAAUAUGUUAAACACUGAAUAAUAUAGAAAAGACCUGUUUCCUGAAAGGGAAAUCUUCAUCAGGUAACUUCUCCAUUUCCUCCAAGCUCUUCAUUGCACCCCUCAUGAAAUAAGAAGAGUAUACCCCUGCAUGAUAACAGCUGUUAUACCUCUGAUAUCAAAUGGAGAUAAUAAGUGCAUGGUAACAGAAAAAUAAAUCAGUUAAAAACAAGAGGAAACAGUCAGAUGCAUCAAAUUUUAAAAGUAAUACCAAGUUUAUCAAACAUUGCUGAGACAACUUGAAAUGCAAGGUCCCAGACACCUGCGUAGUGAUAACCAAGUAAGCUUUCAAUAGUAGCACACACUUUUUCAAUUAUAGUUGGCCCAGACUUCCUUGCAUCAUUUUUUGCAUUCAUUACAAUCUGGUCAACUCCCUGUUUGACCAAGCUUUCAUCAAUGCAAGCACGAAUGAGACCCUUAAAUGUGUCCGCUGCUGCAUGUAUAGCCUCUUCAUGCUCAGAUGCCAACACAUCUGCCAAAAUCAAAGAAACACAACGGAACUUUUUGAGUUCUGCUUUCUAGAAUGGAACAGAUAAAAAGAGACUUAGAAGAAGAUUUCUUUAACUAAUAAGAAGGUAAAAUGUACGCAACUAAAGUCAGUGGACGACAAAACACUACAUACCUUCGAGUGCAAUGAAAACGAGAGGGAGUUUAACUACACAUAUUUGCCUGUUAAGGGAAUAAACUUUCGCCAUUCCAGUACCAAGCAAGCGAGCUGUAAAUGUCAUGCCAUCCACAGAUGUCUCAUUCGUAGAGACAGAAAGAGCUAAUGAGCAUAAUAGAUCGAGCAAUACUUCAAGAGAAACAUCUGUCGAUGGAUUGAGACAAAGUAUAUUCAAACUGUCUGUUAUACGCUUUGUAACAAGUGGUUGGCGCAGUUCCAGAAGAGUUUUGUAGUACUUGAGGACAUCGGUUUUGUACUUGAUUGACAUAAGAAACAGACACUCUUUCAGAGCAUCCAAAACAUACAAGACCUCUUGGGCUCCCUUGGGUCCUUCACUCGCAUCUGCCUUUGACCCACCGGCAAGCAGAAGAAACCUUUCAAAUAAGUUAGUUAUCCCUUCACUUGCGGGGGCAAGGAGCGGUGUUCCUUGAAAACUUUGCAGCACAUCGCUAAGGCACAAAUGUGAUUGUCUUCUCACCUGUUUCCGAAUCCAAUUACAAUACAUUCCAGUACAUGGAACAGAAUCAAAAUCUGAAUCAAUUAUAUCAAUCGACAUUACCAAAAUAUGCAACAAUUGUACCAAAACGUCAUUUAAUAAACCUCAAAUUCAUCGAAUUUAUAUAGUAAAUGACCGAAGCAAUCUGAAUUCUAUCAUAAACAAUCAACAAUAACGAUAAGAACUCAAUGGCAAAUAAAAUGUGAGAAACUCACCUUCGGGCGAGAAUCCGUAACGAAACUCAAUAGGAAUCCAUACAAUUGAGAGACAUCAGACCAGUUGACGCGGCCUCUGACAAUGAGCAAAUGCGAUAUACAUUUCAAUCCCGAGAAGGCGGCACCCGCCGUCAACGACGGCGACCGAAGAACACGGACCAAGAGCUCCGAUAAGAACUCGCUCUUCUUCACGAGAAUCCCCACCGAUACUUUCUGAAAGACAAUGGAGAGAAUCGUGAGGAGGGCGUCGAUCACGUGACCGGGUGGGUCUGGCUGGGAGGCGAGGCCGUCGAGGGACGAGCACGUGAAGCCGAGGUAUGCGACGGGAGUCGAAGGGAGGUUCUUGUCUUUGAGCUCCUGGGCCAUGGCGCCGACGGCGGCACAGAGGUGGUGGUGGUCUUCGCGCGUGGAGCUGCUGAAGCGCGUGAAGAUUGAGGCGCAGAUGUCGUCAUCGUCGCUUAGAGGGAGGGAGUGGACGUCGUCCACUUCGAUGCCUUCCAUGUUUGGGCUGGAGUUUUGGGGAGUUGCAGAAAAACCCUAGCUUCGAUGGUUCUUCUGUUUUUUUGCCCACCUCUCAGUACCGGCUAGGGUUUUAGGGAGACAGUUGAGGGCGAAGAAGGUGACCGUUAAGUUGCGGAUUCACGGGUCGAGGUUUUAGUUAAGCCUUUGGGAACCGGGUGGCCCAGUUGUGGCGGGUUCGGAUGGGUCACUGAGUUCGUAAGCGCGCGACCGACACUCGUUACAUCUUUGGACUCAACGGGCCCGUCACCAAAAGAUGAUUUAUAUUCCUUCUGGGCCGGUUCGGAAGUAUUGACCCGAAUUUAACUCUAUAGUAUUCUCCCCAAUUUUAUAGUCAAGGACUCAAGCGAGGAGAGAAGAGGUUACAAUUAUUUAUCGUCACGUGGAGAGAAAGAUAGAAAAAUGAUGACAAUAAUACUGAUACAUGAAGGUAAUGCUUCUAAAAUUUAGUUGGUAAAAUUAGGAUAGUGCUAUCCACAAACUCCCUUUUAUUUCUCACACACAUUUGUUAAUUUUUAUUCAUUGAUCUUUUUCAAUUCGUUCAAUUCAACGGUCGAAAAUUGAUAUGUGUGUGAAAAGUAAAAAUGUGUGGAUAGCGUGAAAUUAUUUAUGAAUUAUGACCCCCCGCACAAUUUUCACAAUUUUUGGACAUACGGUGUUGAGGAAUGAGGGUGGUUGAUUGAUGGAACAAAACAUAGUUUUAGGUAAAUGGAGGUAAAAUGUGGGGUAUUUACGGGGUUCACAAGACAAACUCUCUAAUAAGUUGAUAUUUUUCGUACGGGUUGUCUUAUGCAACAAGUCUCUAACAUGUUGUCACAUGGGACAGUCACACAAAUUUUCGUGAAUCAUAGGAUACUCUAAUCACGAUCAUAAAAACAGUCAUACAAAUUUUCGUGGAUCAUAGGAUUUUCUAAUCACGAUCAUAAAAAAUAUCUUAUCCAUCAGAGCAAUCUACUGUUUAUCGCAAAUAAUUAUUUCAAAAUAAAGUAAGAUCUUGAUAAGUAAAAUAUCCAGAACUUUUAGAGUAAUUCAAACCCAGACAACAAUAUUAUAAACUGAUUAUAUAUAUAUAUAUAUAUAUAUAUAUAUAUAUAUAUAUAUAUGUGUGUGUAGCAUCAUUACUAUACUCGUUAAUAUCAUACGUACAACUUGAAGUAAAACAGUACGAUACCAAUUGCGGCAUGGACUGACACUGAUACCCAUAAUGACAGAAUUACAGCCGUCCAUCAUCAGAUCAUCAUCAAGGUCCAGAUCUGGGCCAUCUGCUGCUCUUGUCGAGGCGAUUGAUCAGGUACAGCGCGUUGCUCGUAACCCUAGCCGAAUUCGUAAUCUUCCGCUUCACAUCCACGGCCUUGGCCUUCACAUUCGCCUCCUGAAUCCCAUCGAGACACGUCUCGUCAUCCGUGAGGGCGGCGCUCAGCCACGUCUGGGCAUUGCUCAUCUGGAAUCGAAACGUCUCCUUCCGGAGGUGGUGCAGCUCGGCGAGCGUCUCGCUCAGCUCGUCCACCGACGUCGACAUCAGGUCCACGCAGUCGCCGAUCGCCGAGAGCUGCAGCUUCGUCCCCUUGAAGGAGGCGGAGAGCUGGGCGAGGAAGCCGGAGACGCGGAGUGAGCGGGCGAGGCUAACGUUCACAGCGGCCUGGGCGAGGUCGCGGGGGGUCUUGGCGGGGCCGGCGUAGUUGGAUAGAGUGCGGAGGCAGAUUUUGGGGUAAGUGGCGUGGCGACAUGAUGAACGGACGAUAUUUGAUGCUGGGUGGUGUUUCCCUGCGGCGGAGGCGGAGUACAGCGAGCAGAAGAGGAGGACGAGGAGAGGGAGAAGAGAGAGUAGGAAACGCAUCGAGGAGGUGAGUAGAGUGAAGAUUGAAGAGUGUGGAAUUAAUCU